CUGGAGCGUGACGUCAUGAACCAUGGGGCCAAUGGGAGAGGUCGGGGCGGGGCUCCAGGAGUGAUGGUGUGUUUUAUAUCUCUGUGCUGUAGUUUAGAGACUCAGUCGAACAUCAGACGCCAAGGUGUCCACACGAAAGCACGGUCGUUGUCAGAAUUCCAUGUACAGUGUAAGAUAAAUUCUGACAUGUACAAGACUGUGUUGCGUGCGCGAUGGGAUGGACGGGACGUGGACCACAAGGCAGUGGGCGGUCACCUCCCCCUCAGCAAGAGGAACUCCACACCUGUGGGAGCCUCCCUGGCUGCACCCUCUGCCCACACCCAGCUUCUGCAUGCUCAUGCUAAAGCUGCCCUCUCGCCCAUAGAGCCAUCCAACAUGCACCGCCGGCUGGACCGUUCCCACUCGGAGCCUGUCAAAGGUGGGGAGGGACGCCAGGCCAACUCCUCGCGUUACAAGACUGAGCUCUGCCGACCUUUUGAAGAGAAUGGCUUCUGCAAGUAUGGUGACAAGUGUCAGUUUGCUCACGGUCACGCCGAGCUGCGCACUCUCUCCCGUCACCCCAAAUACAAAACAGAGCAAUGCCGCACCUUCCACACCAUCGGCUUCUGUCCCUACGGCCCUCGCUGUCAUUUUAUCCACAACCCUGAAGAGAGACGGGGAUCAUUGGCUGGCUCUCACCCGCCACUCUCACCCAAGAUCUCACUCACCAAUACUCACCCAGCACUCUCCCGACCCCAGAUGCUACAGAUGGGAUCAUCUCUGGCACCACUGGGGUCUGCUGCAGAAUCGCCCUCGCCUCCUGCCUCGCUCCACGGCUCCCCCACCUCCUCAGGCGGGUCCUUCUUCGACGAUGCCUUCACUCUCUUUCCUGGUGGGUGCGGUCUGGCCGGUGCUAAGGGCUUCUUGGAUGGACUCUCAGUUGGACUGGGGUCUCCAGGGAUGAGUGGAGGGCCUGGAUCUCCUGGAGGAUCAUCCUACGGUGGUCGCGCUCUUAGCGAGCUGGACUUGGUCCGAGAGGGAACACUUCUCUCGCUCGCAGGGCUUGACACUCCGCCCGUCAGUCCUGUAGAGUCUCUUGCUGGAGACUUGGAUUCACUCUCACUCUCCUCCUCUCACUCAGCCUCUCCUACCCCAGUCACGAGUGCCCUCGACAUCUCACGCUCACUUCGUCUCCCCAUUUUUGAGCAGCUGUGUGAGCAAGACUAGAUAGCCAGCGCUGACCCAGUGGCCGUGACAGCUCAAAUUGUGAUAGUGGCGGCCACGGGCGGCUCCUGUGGGUGACUGUGUCGUGAUAGUUUACGAGUGGAUAAAGGCAGCUCCUGGCACCAUCACUAGUGGUUCCCGAGCCCACGGGCCCCGGGGAUCUGGGCCUAGUCUUAUUUAAACCCUGGUGAGGACUUGCAGAGUGGCUGCCCUUAUCCAGGGAAUCAAUAAGGGAGAAUAGAAGGUUAUCAAAGGUUUGAGAACCAUGACACAGUCACCCAGUGCCCAAUACCUUGUACAGCGUGGAGUAUGUUAUGCCCCUGAUCCCCGUGCCCACAUGCCCACCUCCACCCAUGUACUGCUUGUGAUAUUGGGGCGUCCAUGGCGCGGCGCCCACAACCUUAGAGUUUAUGAAGGGUUGGUGAGGCAGGGUGGCGGGAACGAAUGCACCCUCCAACACAGCUCUUGUACAGAACAAACUUACUUUUUUGUAAUUAAGAAAACUGCUUGUAUUUAUGUAAUUUAUUUAUUUGAGUGAAGUAGAAAAGAAGUAAUUUAUCUUUGUACUAUACCUAGAUGCCAUACAGUUUGUGUUAUUCAGUUUGCUGCUGCCUCACAUAUCCAGCUAAUACAGUGAGCGUCGUUAAUCCGACUACUCCACAUGCCCAGCCAUUGUAAAUCACAUGCAAUAUAUAUAUGUACAGUAUAUAUAUAUAUAUACACACGCACACACACACAAAUAUAUAUAUACAGUACAUACAAAUAUCUAUAUAUCCAAUUUUAUAGAAAUCUUUUAUUAACUUAUGUUUAUUGACUUUGUGGCAAUGUUUGUAAUGGUUGGAGUCUAGGGAAGCCUUAAGGGACCUCCGGCCGCUGGAGGUGUUGGGGGGGAGGUUGGAGGUGCUUGCUCCGGUCGGAUUAAUAGCGGACCACUGGACCGACCACCUGUUGCCACCUGUGCUUGCUAAGCCGACCCUACCUCACCUGUCUCGACCACAGAUCUUCCAACUCAGAUUGGCUCAUCUUGUUAGGGGUCAUGGCACCGGGCCGACUCCUCGGGGGGCGUGGCGAGGCAGCCCGCGGGAGUGUCGCAUCGGGCGAGCAGGUCGACGGUCACCUGACCUAGGGAAUAACACGCUUACCAACCAAAGACGGAUUUGGUUCCGGCAAUGAGAAGAGAGAUUGCCUUCCUUGUUUUUAGGCUUUUUCUAAUUUAGAAACGAUGCUUUAUAAUUUUCAUAAAACCGUGUUAAAGGCAGUUACUUUAUGUAAAGGUAUGUUUUUUUUUCUUUGCCAGAGCGGCGUGUACCUAGGCUAGGAGACGCCUAUAGUUGUGAGGGUGAAAAUAUACCCACCUGAUAAUUUGAAUGUGACGAGAUUGGCCACCAUAAGUCACCCAAGACGGCUGUAAGAUUCUCUUUUAUAAUUUUGAGAAGGGCUAAUACCUGUGUGUAUUACUCUGGAGAAUACGUCACUGCUCAAAGAUUGGCCCCAGUCUGCUAAUUGUUAUUGCUGAAGACUAUUACUUUUCACAAGUGAAGUACUCUUAAUUUGUAACACAAUUUUUUACAAACCGUCUUGUUAGACUGGAGGCUGCCAGUCGGAGCACAACUACAGGCCCCCUGUUGCCAGGGAGAUUUGACCCCUUGUCACUUAAGGGGAGAGAAAGGUCACAAUGGCUGAAUAAUGGUAUAAAAAGUGCUUUAGUUUAUCAUAUUUGUCGUGUACAAUAAUGUUAUGUAUUUUAUUUUUGUAUAGUUAAUUUAAAAAACAAAUUUUUUUUGUGUUGACCUCGUUCUCCCUUCUUGAAAAAAGACACCUGUGGCGGGAAGGUUGGAGGGCCCCUCGUGCUAUUAUUUAAAAAUACCCUCAUCUUUUUUAAUAACUUUAAAAAUUACCACACAUUUUUUUAAUCACUAACAAGAAUUGAAAACUUAAUUAUUCGCCCAUUAUUCGAGGGGGGGUUGUUGGCCGUCAUAACAGAUAAUUCGCAGUAUAUGCAGUGGAUCUCUGUGUCUGUCCCCCGAGGAUCAGUAAUUCCAUGUACAGGUCUGGUUUGGAGGAGUGGACAAUAUGUGGGAACUUGAGAGGAAGGAGAGUUCGCUGUGUAUGCGGUGGAGUGAUGGAGACGUGUGUGGUCAGAUUGGCUUGUAAUAUUUAUAAGCCACUGGUCAUUAUUCCAAAAGGUGUCCCUGUGCUUUAACGCCUCUCCCGUCUACCCUCAGUGUAGUGUAUGUUAGCAUUAUUUAUAUUCUAGCUCCUCUUUACUUUUCUAGUGCUUUCAAAAGUCUAUAAAAAAGUAUUAUUAAUAAGUUUGUUAUACAGUAUAUUGUAUAUUAUAUAUUGUCGUCAGGACAAAGAGAGGAGGCAGCCUGUGAAGGACUCGUUUCCUAUGAAGAGUGAGGGGACGUGCUCCUGUGGAUCUCACAUAUGGACUGCUGGAGCCAUGCCAUGUUCCUGUGGACUGCUGGAGCCAUGCCAUGUUCCUGUGGACUGCUGGAGCCAUGCCAUGUUCCUGUGGACUGCUGGAGACAUGCCAUGUCCCUGUGGACUGCUGGAGACAUGCCAUGUCCCUGUGGACUGCUGGAGACAUGCCAUGUCCCUGUGGACUGCUGGAGACAUGCCAUGUCCCUGUGGACUGCUGGAGACAUGCCAUGUCCCUGUGGACUGCUGGAGACAUGCCAUGUCCCUGUGGACUGCUGGAGACAUGCCAUGUCCCUGUGGACUGCUGGAGACAUGCCAUGUCCCUGUGGACUGCUGGAGACAUGCCAUGUCCCUGUGGACUGCUGGAGACAUGCCAUGUCCCUGUGGACUGCUGGAGACAUGCCAUGUCCCUGUGGACUGCUGGAGACAUGCCAUGCGCCCACCCCCCUUGUAAGAUUCUGGACAUAAGACGCGCACACCCUGUAGACUUCUGGAAACUAGACAACCCUGCUCUGCCACUUUAGACUGGACUUGACCUCUGACAAUUGUGAAGGACUUACUCUGUGGGUUCCUCUUCCAGCUGCCUCCUUGACAAAUUUCGCUAAAUAUUACCCAAGUUACAUUGUACAUAAACAGAGUAUUAAAGAUGUUUAAAUGCUAACUUGCAUAUGUUUGGCAUCUGACCAAAACUCUUCCUUUUAUGUGCAGAAAGUGUUUUAUUUUUGAAAAUGGGAGAAUUCCACAGCAAUGUAAAGGUGUUUAUGUUGCUAUCUAUUUAUUUAGGGUAAAUUAAAAGUCACAUUUUUGUUUGUGGAGAAGUUUUGAACCUUUUAUUUUUUAACGUUUUUUAGCAGAUGCUUUCUGUUACGAGAACAUAACUUUGAAUAUUUAUUAAUUUAAAUUGUGAGACUUGUAAUGUCUUAAGUUCACCUGCCAACACCUGUCGUUCUUCCUGUUGUCCCACCACGGCGGCAGACGUGUAUGCAGCUGUAGUUGGGUAAUCUCUUAAUAGAUAUAUGAAAUAUUUACUGUAAUACUGCUGUACCCACAGUUUAAAAUAUAAUUAAUUAUUACACAUUCAUGUACCAGAAGAAAUUAAACUUUUUUCUAAUUUUCUAAUGAAU
rnacentral:misc_RNA from 1 species